rnacentral:ncRNA from 1 species
UUUAGUUAGAGUUUGAUCCUAGCUCAGGAUGAACGCUGGCGGCGUGGAUAAGGCAUGCAAGUCGAACGGAAAUUUUAUCGUCGAAAAUGAGAUUAUAUCAAGUUGGAGAUAUCAAAAUUUUAGUGGCGAACGAGGUAGUAAUACAUAGGAACUUCCCCUCUAGUCGUGAAUAAUCCGUCGAAAGACGGACUAAUACACG